UUGGUUUCAACCGUGAGGCGUGUGCGUUUGUUCAUCAGGACCCAACGUCGCAACUGUUCUUAUAUUCACAUUAUCCCAAAUAUUUGUCUCGUGUGGAUAAGCCAAGGCACCGGAGAGGGCGACGGCUUUGCAGCACAGGCAGCCCGGCGUGCUUUGCUGUGGAGCUGGGAAAACGCGCUGAGGCGGAGGCGUUGUGUCUGAUCUGGAGACGUUAGUCGCGUAGAUAAUCACGUGAGGACUCGUACGGUGAAAGCAAAAACUGGAGCGGGCAGCCGCGUGCCCGCGAGCAUCGUUUUAGGCUCUCUGGUCUUCGUCGCAGCGAUCCAUUUGAGGAAGCGCGAAAAGGGCGUUCUUUCUUCUCCUUUCUCCCUUCUUCUAUGCUGUGAAAUACUUCACCAGAACAGAAGUACUUGUUUCUUUCACCUCUGAGGGUAGCAACCAUGUUGGAAGAGGAUCGGCAGGCUUUGCGCAAGAUGAAGGCAGACUUCGAGACCCUCGCCGACUUGGCGAAUAGCGACUUCCAAGGAUACAACACCUUCGAGAGACGAAUGAACCACUACAAUACCGUCUACACGGCAGCAACGCGGAACACGUCGAAGGCUGCCGAGUACCCCGGCUAUGACGCCGGGGAGCUGCUGUACAUGGAGUACAAUGAAAUGCUUACUACCUACCUGUGGCGAUACCGCGACCUUUCCGGCGACUCUGAACAGGAGCUUUUUCAGAAGAUUUUGGACGUGUGGGACCACUACAAGAUCCUAAUGAAAUGGAACAUGCGGACGUUCGGAUAUCUGUCCCGGUACUACAUUGUGUACCAUUCAAAGCCGUCGCUUCAGCAGGUGGGUCUGAGCAUUUUUCUGGAGCAGGUCUUCAAGAAGAAUGCCGACGUAGUGAGCUCGAUUACGCAGAAGCUGCUUCUGAAAGAGAGGGCUGAUCGCGUCGUGAGCACCAACGCAAAGCAGAUCUCCACGGCAAUCGGACUCUUUUCCUCCAUGAACAUCGAGGACACUCAGUCAAUCUACCUCACCGCGUUUCUAGAGCCGUACUUGGACAAGACGAAGAGGGACUACGAGCGGUUUUUGCAGGAGUGGGAUGCUGUAGCCGACGCGGCGGUUUUCCUUCGCUCCGUUCACGAUGCCCUCACACAUGAGCGGAGCAUCUGUCGUCGCUACUUCUCCACGCAGGAUGAAGAGCGCAUUAUGACGUGCGUCGAGGCUACCCUUGUCGACUCCCCCGUUACACGGCGGAAGCUAGUGGACUCGCCUUCCGGUGUUCGAGCGAUGCUGCGAAGCCGGGACGAGGCCCAGCUGAAGAUGUGCAACAGUUUCUUCUCCAGGCGCCAAUCUGGCAUCGCACUUCUCGCGGGCCUGAUCAAGAAGGAAAUCGAGACUGAGGGUCUGGAGCUGUGCGAGAGGUUCAAAGGUGAGGAGGCUUCCGUUGAUGUCGUGGCCUACACCACGGGGAUGAUGCACUUGCAGGAGGUGUACCCGCAACUGCUGUCGCGCUGUUUUCAGCUCGAGUUCACUCUCUCCAAGGCUGUUCGUGAGGGGCUCGAGGCAUGCUACAGCCACGGCGUUGCCGUCACGAGCAGCUGUGGUGGUGGUGAAAGCCGCAUCGUGCCCUUCUGUGAGUGGCUCUCGCACUAUGUGAACCACCUCUUCCAGCACGAGGCGGGGCCAGCCAGCGUAGAGAUGGAUCGCAUUGUAGCCACUUUAGCAUAUGUGACGGAGCGCGAUCGUUUCAUAGCGACGUCUCGCGAGCACAUGGCCGACCGCAUUCUUUUGCCUGUUAAAAAAUUCAGCGAGGCAAAUGAGCGCGCGCUCAUCCAGCGCUUCCGGCAGCGCUGCGGCCCGACUAGCACCGCGUGCUUGGAGAGCAUGCUGCACGACUGGGAGACCUCCAACAGUUUUCGUCCAAUGGAGGUGUUGGCGAGCAAGAACGUACCCAUGACAUUCGAGGUGGAGCUUCUCGUUGCUAAGAAAGGGAUCUGGCCAUCUCGACUUUCCGACGAGCCCGAUAUUGUUGUUCCGCCAUUCUUGCAGCGCGUCUUGGAGCCGCUUCGCGACGAGUAUCUCUCCGGUAAGUCAGGCCGCGUGCUGACGUGGUCGCACGAGUGCAGCAGUGGCGAGCUGCAGGGCUCUUUCAAGAAAGGCACUCAGUUGUUUUUUGCGUGCGGCAUCCAAGUGUUGAUUCUGCUGUGCUUCAACUCAUUGCCAGUAUGCACACCCCAGCAAAUUGGAGACCGGUGCCAUGCUACGUUCGCCUCACUCCAGCGAUACCUGCCGCCUCUCAUUCGCAGCCGCAUCCUCACCAGGAAAUCUGGGAAGGCGCUCUUACAGAUGGAUGACGAGCUUACAGUCAACGACGAUUUCGUCUGCAGAGCGCGGCGGAUGCGAAUUCCUCCGUCGCUUGCGCGCGUGAGCGUUGGCGAAAGCGAACACAUAUCAAAGCAAGUCGAAGAGGACAGAAAGCCGGCCAUCGACGGAGCGCUGGUGCGUAUUAUGAAAGGGCGUCGCUCCCUUGACCACGCGGAGCUAGUUCUUGAGUGUCAGCAGCAGCUAAGCUCACGAUUUUUGCCGGAUGUCAAGCUGAUCAAACAGCGCAUAGAGGAGCUGAUCCGACGAGAGUACAUUAGCCGCGAUCCCCGCAGCAAAGGCGUCUACCAUUAUAUUGCCUGAGUGGAUACAAGCAGACGGGAGACACGGAGCCAGAAGCGUGGUGCCUCUCUCUCGGCACUGUUUUUAUUUUUUACUGUGUGCUGAUCGUACGACUUCUGACACUGCUGUAAGUGACUAGGAUAACAAAGUACGAUGGCCCUCUCCUUCGCCGACAAGGAAGGGGCAAAAGGCUGCGGAUACAGGAGGUUGUGUGGUGUGGCGUCGACUAUCGCUACUAUCGAUACAAUGCGGUGCCGUUGCUAGGGCGGUGUGAUGGUAGCACCCGCCGCCUGAGGUUGCAGUGCGAGGUCGUCUCGAGCGACAGCAACAACAGUGGAACAUCAGCUGCGCAGUUGUCUCUGUCUCCUCCCUG
rnacentral:misc_RNA from 1 species